UUUUUAGCCCAAUCCAACUUAUAAAUUGUGAGAAAACCUCCAAAAAUUGCACCAAUGUCACUCGGCCGCCAACUUGGAAAGUGAAGCAAAAAUCUCAGUAAUGAUUUCUCCUUUUUCAACUAUUAACUUUGUCUCAAAAUUGAUGUGUAGUUUGAUCUUUAAGUCUUCCAACACCAUGCCAAUUUUCACCUUAAUCCAACUAAUAGAUUUUUAGAUAUUAUAGAAACCCUAUCCAACCUCAAACUGCCACCUUCUCAAAUCCUCUUGUACUAAAAACUAGAUAUCUCUAAACCUUGCUGUUAGAUUAUCACAAAAUUUUGUAUACAAUUAGCACACCCAAUAAUCCAAAUAAUAUUAAAUUUUCAAUUGUAGAUGUCAUGCCAAUUGCACGAAUUAGCCAAAAUUGCUAGCCCUAAUUAUAUUAUAUAAAACCCAAAUCACUGAUACAAACCUUGACUUUGAACAACAAUUGCUAAGUCCUCCAAAACCCU
rnacentral:lncRNA from 1 species